rnacentral:rRNA from 1 species
GACGGACGCUGGCGGCGUGCUUAACACAUGCAAGUCGAACGGAAAGGCCCCAGCUUGCUGGGGUACUCGAGUGGCGAACGGGUGAGUAACACGUGGGUGAUCUGCCCUGCACUCUGGGAUAAGCCUGGGAAACUGGGUCUAAUACCGGAUAGGACCGUGCUUUAGUGUGUGCGGUGGAAAGUUUUUCGGUGCAGGAUGAGCCCGCGGCCUAUCAGCUUGUUGGUGGGGUAAUGGCCUACCAAGGCGGCGACGGGUAACCGGCCUGAGAGGGUGUACGGCCACAUUGGGACUGAGACACGGCCCAGACUCCUACGGGAGGCAGCAGUGGGGAAUAUUGCACAAUGGGCGCAAGCCUGAUGCAGCGACGCCGCGUGGGGGAUGACGGCCUUCGGGUUGUAAACCCCUUUCGGCAGGGACGAAGCUUUUGUGACGGUACCUGCAGAAGAAGCACCGGCUAACUACGUG